CAGUCGCCACGGUAAUACGUAGGGUGCAAGCGUUAAUCGGAAUUACUGGGCGUAAAGCGUGCGCAGGCGGUCCGCUAAGACAGAUGUGAAAUCCCCGGGCUUAACCUGGGAACUGCAUUUGUGACUGGCGGGCUAGAGUAUGGCAGAGGGGGGUAGAAUUCCACGUGUAGCAGUGAAAUGCGUAGAGAUGUGGAGGAAUACCGAUGGCGAAGGCAGCCCCCUGGGCCAAUACUGACGCUCAUGCACGAAAGCGUUGGGAGCAAACAGGAUUAGAUACCCCUGUAGUCCCUGUCUCUUAUAA
rnacentral:rRNA from 1 species